rnacentral:rRNA from 1 species
AGCGAACGCUGGCGGCGUGCCUAACACAUGCAAGUCGAACGUGAAAAGGGAAACCUGAGUAAAGUGGCGUACGGGUGAGUAACGCGUAGGUAAUCUACCCCAGAAUCUGGAAUAACCUGCCGAAAGGCGGGCUAAUACUGGAUAGAGCGAGGGAACUCGUAAGAGAGUUUUUCGGGAAAGGGAGCCCGCAAGGGCCUUCGUUCUGGGAUGAGCCUGCGUCUCAUUAGCUAGUUGGUAAGGUAACGGCUUACCAAGGCGAUGAUGAGUAGCUGGUCUGAGAGGAUGAUCAGCCACACUGGAACUGAAACACGGUCCAGACUCCUACGGGAGGCAGCAGUGGGGAAUCUUGCGCAAUGGACGAAAGGCUGACGCAGCCACGCCGCGUGAGUGAAGAAGGCCUUCGGGUUGUAAAGCUCUGUCGGAUGGGACGAACAUCUUCAUAGUGAAUAGCUAUGAGGACUGACGGUACCAUCAAAGGAAGCACCGGCUAACUCCGUG